AGUAUUUAGGUAUUGAAUGUGAUGCUGGAGAUUGUAUAAUUAUUUUUCACUUUUCUUCAGUAUAAAGUGUUUUAUCAUUCACAUUUUUGUGUUGAAAUAGAUUAGCCUAUCCCCUGUAUGUCACUGAUGCACUACUACAAAGAUGUGAGGACAAGAAAAUACACCUGCGAGUAGUCUUAGACAUUGCCUGUGUUGUUGCCUCACAUUUGCAGAAAUCAGGGGAGGGCAUACCACACAACAUCUCCUUAGACUUACCAGCAUUUCAUGUUUAUGGACACAAAUGGCCCUGCCAGAUCAAGUACAGUACCAGAUGGCUUGAUGGGUUUGGGCUCACAGACGGGGAAGGAAUGGAAAGGCUGUGGUCUUUCCUCCAAAGAUUUGCCAGAGUCACAAAGGAGAUGACUCCAUCUCAUCGCCUUGACCUACUGACUGAUGCCCUUUUGCAUUAUGGACGGAGGAAAUCAACUGACCUAGAGGUGCAGCUCCUGCAAAGAGUAGACAAAGCAGAGAAAAUAUUGCUCAAGAAGAUAUCUCAUGUCAUCAGAGAGGCACCAGUGUUGAUUUCUGAAGGAGACAUGGAGAGAUGGAAAAAAGCUAGCCCAACAGAAACCAAUAAACACUGUCUGUAGAUGGAAAAGGGACUACAUCAUCAGACUGAUUCAGUUCUACAAGUUCAAAUAUUAGAAUUGAGGACUCUGCUGAACAUUGAGAAAAACUACCUUAUUGGAAGAAGAUGGCAAGAGUCUGAUUCAAACUUCCAGUCUACCCUUAAAGAUGUGGACCAUGAGCUCAGAGUCCAACUGCAAGGCUAGAACUGAAUCAAGGGAGAGAGCAGUCCUCAUUCACCAGAGAAGAAUAUAUCCAGCUUUGCUUCAGAUGGGCAGGGCAUUGCCAUUAGACUCUCCAAGCAGGAAUCAUGUGAUCCCUCUUGGCAUGUCUACUUCUGCUUUGAUAACACUAUUGAAGAAGAUGAUGUUUCGAGGAGUCUAAAGGGAUUGAUGCCUUACAUAUGAAGACUCAUGCAAAAGCUGCUCUCAUUCAACGCUUCCAACAGCUGGAAAGAAAACUACAUCAAGCCAUUGUGAUGUUUCACCCACAUGUAUCAGACUUUGUUCCUGCAGACAACCCCACUUGUGUCAGGCCCUCCCCAUGCCAAGCAUACAGACACUGGUAUACAAUGAUAAGAGUGAUAAUGAUGACAAUGUGGAUAACUAGCACUACAGAUUUUUUUUAAAUUUCUAGUCUGAUAUUGUAUUCGGUAAAAAGAAUGAUGUAAAAUGUAUAGUAUAUGUUGCAGCAUAUCAUAGAAACCUUUAUGGUGGUGUAAUAUAAUGUUCGCCUUACUUGUUCAAACAUGAUGCUUUACUAGAUCUGAUUUAUUAUUAAACGUAGGUACUGUUUUUAAGCACACAUAUUCACACUAGUCUGUGUGAGGACAAAAUUGUGUGUUUACCAUUGUGAUGUUACUUAUUUACUGUAAUGUACAAAUGUGGUCAAUGUGUGUAAGGUGUUUUGUUUUUGUGAGCUAAGUUGAAAUGACAAAGUAUUGAAUCUUGAAUCCUUUGAAACAAAUACUGUAAAAGUUUGUAAAAAAUAAAAUGUUUUCCACAAUGA